AACUCCCACGGCGGGAAAGAGGAGAGGUUUGCGGAGAGCGGCACCUGGCGGGGGGAGGACCGUACAGCGCUGGGAGGGCGAGAUACGGGGUCGUGCAAAAAAGGGUUGAUUUGAUGGAGGGUGGGGGAAGGAAGAACCUGUUUUUUGGGCGGGGAAAGAAUUAUGGUUUGCGGAAAAUAAGUUUGCCACACGGAGUUGGAGGAAAGGAAGAGCUGGAAUGACUGACGGAUCCCCCUAAAUAGAUGGACAGCUGUGGAGAGGCUGCCACGAUUUAUAACAGGGUUCUUGGGACAACUUGCAACAUUUUAAAAUUCAAAAGAAUACUGAAGUACAACAACAAGUCCCAGAGAAUAAAAACAGCUUAAAGCUAAAAUGUAUUAAAAGGUCCUAGAAACAGAAAAGAGGUUUUCCCUGCUGCUAAAAAGACCGUAAGGGAAGUGCCAGGUGAGCUUCUCUGGGGAGAGAAUUCUACUGCACGGAUGCCACCAUUGAAAAGGCUUCAUCCAGCUCUCCUAUGAGGGUGUUUGGGAACCAGCCACUCAGGGUUCAGGACACACGGAGCAGACUGCAAUGUCUGUGCAUCCACAUGGAAUGGACUGCAGUACGAACCCAUCUCCUUGGAUCUGCAGUUGCUGAAGGACUCGGCAUCUGAGGAAGUCUUGACCUGCGGCCACGACAAAUGCUAAAUGUGUGCCAUGGUGGCGCUUUUGGAAUUAAGAAGAGCUCAGCUCUGGCUUUGAUGGUUUGCAGGCAGAGAGAAUGCAAUGCCGCAGAGAGCACAUCCCUAGUCUGAGCUUUGGGCCCCUUGGCGUCUAGCCGUACAAGUUAGCAACAAUACCUACAGAUUUUUCCCAAUCGACUCACUAGGGUGGAGUUGCUUCAACACAGUGGUCUUGGUUGCAUCCGUCAGGAAAGCUCAGGAGAAGGCAAGAACAUCUGUCCUGCUGCAUAGAGCUGGUGUAAAGGUUAUUUGCUGAGAAGGUCCGUGGGAAUUGUACCUGGAACCGAUGACCAGGCAAGUAGCAAACGUCAUGGCAGAGCUGCAUACUUCCUGUCUUUCACUGUCUCUCAUGACCACCAGCACUGUUAUGAUGACCGAGGCUGCAUCUCCUACUCUUGUGCUAUGAUCUUCCUAAGAAAUGGUCCCCCCCGCCCCCGUGCCUGUUAUUUAAAAGUACACACUGUGGUUGCUGUUAAUCGUGUCAUAAACAUCACAUCUAGUCAAGUUCUAGUCCCUCAUUAAUGGGGAAGGACUCCAUGUUGAAAGCAAACACAGAAGGAAGUUUUAAGGAAUCAAAUGGGAAUUAAAGAAACCAUUAUAUGAGAAACUGUUUCAAACAAUUUCAUUG